rnacentral:rRNA from 1 species
UAAUACAGAGGUCUCGAGCGUUAGUCGGAAUCACUGGGCUUAAAGCGUACGUAGGCGGAUCUGUAGGCGUCGUGUGAAAUACCUCGGCUCAACCGAGGAACUGCACGGCGAACCACAGUUCUUGAGACAAGUAGGGGCGGUCGGAACGAUAGGUGGAGUGGUGAAAUGCGUUGAUAUCUAUCGGAACGCCGAAGGUGAAGACAGGCCGCUGGGCUUGUUCUGACGCUGAGGUACGAAAGCGUGGGGAGCAAACGGGAUUAGAUACCCCGGUAGUCCACGCUGUAAACGAUGUGCACUAGAUCGAGGAGGUUCUGACACCAUUCUCGGUCGAAGUAAAAACGUUGAGUGCACCGCCUGGGGAGUACGGUCGCAAGGCUA